rnacentral:misc_RNA from 1 species
GUUCUGCUGCAAUCCCCAACAUCUCACAAGACGCAAACCACUGACCUAAAGAACUUCUCCCCCUCCCACUAACAAUGAACACAGUGUUACAGGGGUCAUUGCAAAGCGUAGUCAAGACAGAGAUAACUUCAGGGCUUGGUGUCUUAAUUAUAGAGCUUUGUGAAAUGAUAGUGCCAUCGUAAUCCAAAAAUAUCGCUCUUCUAU